rnacentral:misc_RNA from 1 species
UACGGAGGGUGCGAGCGUUAAUCGGAUUUACUGGGCGUAAAGCGUGCGCAGGCGGUUUUGUAAGUCUGUCGUGAAAUCCCCGGGCUCAACCUGGGAAUUGCGAUGGAGACUGCAAGGCUAGAAUCUGGCAGAGGGGGGUAGAAUUCCACGUGUAGCAGUGAAAUGCGUAGAGAUGUGGAGGAACACCGAUGGCGAAGGCAGCCCCCUGGGUCAAGAUUGACGCUCAGGCACGAAAGCGUGGGGAGCAAACAGG